CAUUCCAGAUUCCUUAUCUCUUAAACCUAAAUAGUGGUCUGAGUGGUUAAAAAAAAAUGGAAGAAAGUAAAACGGAAAUGAACUUAGAGUCUUUGGUGACAAUAAGUUCAUCUCAAUCAAAG
rnacentral:snoRNA from 1 species